ACGCUCGCGCGCCAGGCUGCGCACGCUCGCGCGGCAAGGAAGCCAACGAUCGCGCGCGAGGCUGCGCACGCUGGCGCGCGAGGCUGCCCACCCUCGCACGGCAAGGCAGCCAACGCUGGCGCGCGAGGCUGCCCACGCUCGCGCGGCAAGGAAGCCAACUCUUGCGCGCGAGGCUGCCCAUUUCCGAGUAAGGCAUGCUUCACCCACUCGCGAGGAAGGCAGCGCGAACUCGUGCGAGGGAUGUAGCCCAGCCUCGCGUGCCCGCAGCGCACGCUGGCGGGGAAGGAUACGAGCGCGCGCGCGGCAUGCACCUGGCACUCGCGCGGCAAACUGCCGACGCUCGAGCGAGGCAAGGCAGCGGGCGCUCGCCACCAAGGCACGCAGCCCACGCUCGAGCGAGGCAAGGCUUGCGCACGCCAUGCAGCCCCCACUCGCGCGGCAAGCAGCGCAGGCUCGCGAGGCAAGCUGCCCACGAUCGCGGGGCAGGCAGCGCGCGCUUGCGAGCAGGCCAGGCACGAUCGCGCGGCUCGCACGGCACCCUCGCGGGGCACGCACAGCACCCUCGCGCGAGGCAGGCCGCGCUCGCCCUGGCUGGGGCGGGUGGCUUCCUUCCGCGCGGGAAGUGGCCAUGUCCCUUCCGGCGCUGCUACCGCUGUUCCAUGGGGGCCGGAUGCUGCAAUUAGGCGUCAUGCGAGAAACCACCAUGGGCCGGAUGCUGCAAUUAGUCUCAGGACUCAAGUAGAUGGCGGGCUUAGGGAACAAUUUUUUGGCCGCUGGAAAACAGUUUUAAAAUCGUCCAAAAUGGAUAAACCGGGACACAAAAUUACUCGUAAGAUAUGCAAACGGCACCGGAAUGGGCUGAAAUUUUAGGAGGCGCCGUAUAUCGACCUGAAUUAUCUGAUGGACCAAAAAAGUGGUGGAAAUUAUGCCGGAGCUCGGGGUCCCAAAUUUUGGGCAAAAAUGGCCAAAAACCGUGGCCAUUUUGAGCACACGGAUUUUGCCCAAAUUUCGCGUUUUCGGGCGGCAGGGGAUUUUGGGCCGGCAUUGUAGAUAUGUGCGUUUGUUAACCGUCGGAGGAGACGGAAGUCUAUUCCGAGGUCCGGAUCUCGUUUUAUGGCCAAUUUACCGAAACGCGCAGGGGGACCCAUUUUUCGGCCAGAAAGGGCCAAAAUUCGCGUUUUCGGGGCGGCGUGGGUUUAGCCACAGGAGAAAACGGAAGCCAAAUUUCUCCUUUGUGCCAGCCACUUAGAUUUUGCCGAGAGUUAGACACAAGUCCGCUACGAGGCCUGAGUUAGCCUCCUUUUCGAAGCCAUCACACAAGUCUUUUGUGCCAGAGUUAGCCUCAUGAAAAGGAGAAGUGUGCUGCCUUUGUGCCAGCCACUUAGAUAUUGCCGAGAGUUAGCCUCGUGAAAAAAACACAAGUCCACUCCGAUCCUUGGGCGUGUGCGCCGCAGGGGGCUAACCUCCGACGGGUUCCGAACAAGAGAAGACGGUGCGAGUGAGGGGGGAGGGACGAAUCUGAGCGACGUAGGGCUGAAUCUCAGUGGAUCGUGGCAGCAAGGCCACUCUGCCACUUACAAUACCCCGUCGCGUAUUUAAGUCGUCUGCAAAGGAUUCUAACCGCCGCUCGAUGGGGAAUACGAUUCAAGGCGGCCGCCGCGGCCCUUCCGCCGCGGGGGCUUGGCCUACGACACGUGCCUCUGGGGACCGGGCGGUCCUUACUGCGGGUCGGCAAACGGGCGGCGGGCGCACGCGUCGCUCUAGCCCGGAUUCUGACUUAGAGGCGUUCAGUCAUAAUCCAGCGCACGGUAGCUUCGCGCCACUGGGCUUUUCAACCAAGCGCA
rnacentral:lncRNA from 1 species